GCUUGAUGAUGAUACACUUGAGGCUGAGCAAAUUGUAGUUGGUCCUUCAUUUGCCCAGGUUGAUGUAACAUGUCCUGUUUCAAGACGGGGCUGAGAGCAAU
rnacentral:snoRNA from 1 species